UGAAGUGCAAGUGGUUUUAUGGCGAUAAAACUUUUUUUCCCAAAGUUAUAGACUCUCGCGCCAAGCGCCUCACCACAGUGCUUCUAGAGCGCGCGGUACUCCGAAACAUUUGGGUUCGUAGGAUACAAAUAUUUUUACCUGCAGGUAUCUGUGACGAUUCUAAGCUGUCGAAUAAGCGUAUUAAUGUUGUGAGUACUCUACUUCUUUCAGAUGUAUUAGUAUAACUCUCGCACUACAGCUGUUGACAAGACGCUAGUCGGACGCGCAUUGAGCAUCUCCAUGAUUUUUACUGUAUAAUUUAAAUAUCGUUCUUUAAUAAUUAUUUUGUAAAGUUUCGUGUAAAAAGUGACAAUGAGUGACAAAAGAAAGAAAGUAUAUACUUCAAAAGCAUCAAGCUCUCCGAUCGCUCACUCAGCGAUGCAGCGAAAGAGGCUCGUUCGAGCUUAAAAUCUGCGAGAAAAGACGAAGAGGAUGAAAAUCUUGCUGUUGAAGGGCAACUUUAUGGUCCUGGGAUCGCAGACUAAAGACCAAAAAUUACGGCAUUUAUGCUGCUAGCCGCGGACCACCUUGCCAAAUCGACUGUCUUCUUCAUGCUGCUGCAGAUCAACCAUUUUGUAAAAUUUAAUUAUGAAAAAAUUAUUUUUUGUACUUUUUGACAUGCCUCAUAAAGUUAUCAAACCCAUUUUUUAACAGCACGAUUCAG